rnacentral:rRNA from 1 species
CACGUAGGGUGCGAGCGUUGUCCGGAAUCAUUGGGCGUAAAGCGCGCGUAGGUGGCUUCGUAAGUCCGUUGUGAAAGUCAAAGGCUCAACCUUUGAAAGCCGAUGGAUACUGCGGAGCUAGAGUACGGAAGAGGCGAGUGGAAUUCCUGGUGUAGCGGUGGAAUGCGCAGAUAUCAGGAGGAACACCAAUAGCGAAGGCAGCUCGCUGGGACGUUACUGACACUGAGGCGCGAAAGCGUGGGGAGCGAACAGG